rnacentral:lncRNA from 1 species
CAAACCCUAACAGAAAUAGAAGAAAAUUCCCAUAAGUUGAGAAAAUUGAUCCAAUAGAAAACUAUAAUCAACAUCACUUUCUGAAGCACAGCAAACUUUCCUUACCAACUCAGAUAACAGAGCUGAGGACCUCUCACUAGCUCUAUCUACCUGUAAACUGCAGUACACCUCCAAAAGGAACAGACUAACUGCUCCCAUUUCAUCAUUCCCUUAGGAAAAACAGAGAGCUUAGGUAGAAAAAUUUAGAAGGGGGGCACCACAAGCUCAAUAUACAAAACCUAACAACUUCUCUAACAGUAUAAAUAAAUAUUAGAUAAGAAUUAAAAUUGCAUGGAAUCUCUGUGUACAUAUUGUGCAUAUCUUUCAUUGAAUUUAAUCCUAGAUUUUGUAACUUUUUAUAGUUCUACUAUCAUAUUUUUGUAACACAUUUAACAUAUUUUAUUUUUACAAAUAUGCACAAAUCUUCAAAGUGCAGCUCACUAAAUUAUCAAAACUAGAUACCUGGGUAACACAAUGAUUUAGAUUAAAUGCAACAGAAGAUAUGUGAAAACACAACCCCAUAUCAAACUGAAAGACUAAAUAGUUCUACAGAUAAAAUAAAAUUCUACAGAUAAAAUAAAAUUUGUAUUUAAAAGGCUUAAAAGAUUAUAUUAUGCAUUAGGUUGUAUAUAAUUUGAUAAUAUGAUUCUAAAAUUUGUAAAAAUAAAUGUAAAGAGCUAAAAAUAAAAAAAGAGACUUCUGAAAAAGAAUAAAAGAACUUACUUUUCCAUACAUCAAGAAUUACCUUAAAGCUAGAAUCAUAACAGUGUGGCACUGGUGCAAUGAAGAGACAAAGACCAAUGAAACAGAAUCGAGGGAUCGGAAGAGGCCCUGCAAACACAGUUGCUCCAAGCCCCAGGGAGCAAUGAGGAAAAGACAGUAACUUGCAUAAGUGUUAUGGGAAAAUAGGAUAAACAUGUGUGAAAAUAAAACAAAAUCAGACCCCUACAUUACACUAUUCACAAAAAAUAAAUUAGUGUCCAGGGAGAUCACGAACUAAUAUAAAAAGGAAAAGAGUAGAGCUUAUUAAAGUGUGCAUCUCACACUAUCAGUGCUAAAGUCAUUUUCUUUAAAAUACCUAAACUUUCUAGGAUCCAUGCCUGGUCCUAGUGCACAGGACUGGUACACAGCUAGGUAACCUUCGACUCUCCACUUGAGUUUGAC